UACGGAGGGGGCUAGCGUUGUUCGGAAUUACUGGGCGUAAAGCGCGCGUAGGCGGACUGGAAAGUUGGGGGUGAAAUCCCGGGGCUCAACCUCGGAACUGCCUUCAAAACUACCAGUCUGGAGUUCGAGAGAGGUGAGUGGAAUUCCGAGUGUAGAGGUGAAAUUCGUAGAUAUUCGGAGGAACACCAGUGGCGAAGGCGGCUCACUGGCUCGAUACUGACGCUGAGGUGCGAAAGCGUGGGGAGCAAAC
rnacentral:rRNA from 1 species